GCCUGGGUGGCUCAGUCGGUUGAGCGUCCGACUUUGGCUCAGGUCAUGACCUUGUGGUUCACGGGUUCGAGCCCCGCAUCGGGCU
rnacentral:tRNA from 1 species